rnacentral:rRNA from 2 species
UCAUUAGCUUGCUUUUGAAGAUCAGCGGCGGACGGGUGAGUAACACGUGGGCAACCUGCCUGUAAGACUGGGAUAACUUCGGGAAACCGGAGCUAAUACCGGAUAAUCCUUUCCCUCACAUGAGGGAAAGCUGAAAGACGGUUUCGGCUGUCACUUACAGAUGGGCCCGCGGCGCAUUAGCUAGUUGGUGAGGUAACGGCUCACCAAGGCGACGAUGCGUAGCCGACCUGAGAGGGUGAUCGGCCACACUGGGACUGAAACACGGCCCAAACUCCUACGGGAGGCAGCAGUAGGGAAUCUUCCGCAAUGGACAAAAGUCUGACGGAGCAACGCCGCGUGAGCGAUGAAGGCCUUCGGGUCGUAAAGCUCUGUUGUCAGGGAAGAACAAGUACCGGAGUAACUGCCGGUACCUUGACGGUACCUGACCAGAAAGCCACGGCUAACUACGUGCCAGCAGCCGCGGUAAUACGUAGGUGGCAAGCGCUGUCCGGAAUUAUUGGGCGUAAAGCGCGCGCAGGCGGUUCCUUAAGUCUGAUGUGAAAGCCCCCGGCUCAACCGGGGAGGGUCAUUGGAAACUGGGGAACUUGAGUGCAGAAGAGGAGAGCGGAUUCCACGUGUAGCGGUGAAAUGCUUAGAGAUGUGGAGGAACACCAGUGGCGAAGGCGGCUCUCUGGUCUGUAACUGACGCUGAGGCGCGAAAGCGUGGGGAGCGAACAGGAUUAGAUACCCUGGUAGUCCACGCCGUAAACGAUGAGUGCUAAGUGUUAGAGGGUUUCCGCCCUUUAGUGCUGCAGCAAACGCAUUAAGCACUCCGCCUGGGGAGUACGGCCGCAAGGCUGAAACUCAAAGGAAUUGACGGGGGCCCGCACAAGCGGUGGAGCAUGUGGUUUAAUUCGAAGCAACGCGAAGAACCUUACCAGGUCUUGACAUCCUCUGACAACCCUAGAGAUAGGGCGUUCCCCUUCGGGGGACAGAGUGACAGGUGGUGCAUGGUUGUCGUCAGCUCGUGUCGUGAGAUGUUGGGUUAAGUCCCGCAACGAGCGCAACCCUUGAUCUUAGUUGCCAGCAUUAAGUUGGGCACUCUAAGGUGACUGCCGGUGACAAACCGGAGGAAGGUGGGGAUGACGUCAAAUCAUCAUGCCCCUUAUGACCUGGGCUACACACGUGCUACAAUGGAUGGAACAAAGGGCAGCGAAGCCGCGAGGUGAAGCCAAUCCCAUAAAACCAUUCUCAGUUCGGAUUGCAGGCUGCAACUCGCCUGCAUGAAGCCGGAAUCGCUAGUAAUCGCGGAUCAGCAUGCCGCGGUGAAUACGUUCCCGGGCCUUGUACACACCGCCCGUCACACCACGAGAGUUUGUAACACCCGAAGUCGGUGGG